UAUAUAUAUAUAUAUAUAUAUAUAUUAGUAAUAAGCAGGUAACAUUAAUAACCAGACCACAUUUUUUAUUUUUGUUCAUCAUGGCCCAGCUUAUACUAUUCCUAACGUGCAAAUUGUUGGAACUGCAAUGUGUGACAUUUUUCCAUCUGAUUGCUGAUUCAAGCUAACUAAUUGAGUCUGUUCCUGAAAUCAAUCUUCCCUUUUCAUCACCAUGGAAUAAAACUGCUUUUAAACAUGAACUUAUUGACAGUGAGUUUGAUAUUUUGCUUGUUUACAUGUGAUAUAAAGCUAGGUAAAUUAUGUAAUAUAAUGGCAUCAAAUGUGACAUUCGUGGCAUAAAAUAAAACAUUAUCCUUUGCCUUUUCAGUGACUGUGUAAUGCAGUGAAACAGACCUUUCUGCUGUGCUGUCUCUUGUUGUACUUCUCCUAAUAAUCAGCUCUCUGCUGGCAGGCUGCAAACAGCAGACCGUUUCUAAUUGAUGCUCACUCUGCAAUCCACUGAUCAUGUCUGCUGUCUGCAGCCUGCAGACUUGCCAGCAGAGAGCGGAUUAUUAGGAGAAAUACAACAGGAGACAGCGCGGCUGCAGAGAGGUCUGUUUUACUGCUCACACAGUCAGGGAAAAGGGCAGGGAAGGGGACUUGCACGGGCAGUUGACUCCCGGACAGAGUGGCCCACUUAAUAAGAAACAGAGCGGCCCCUCGGGCAAUUGCCCGUAUUGGCACAUUGUCAGUCCGGGCCUGACUGUCAUGAAAUUCUGGGGACUCUCGCUGUGACUGUAGUGACAUUCUGGGGACUCUCGCUGUGACUGUCAUGAAAUCCUGGGGACUCUCAAUGUGACUCAUGAAAUUCUGGGGACUCUAGAUGUGAAUCAUGAAAUUCUGGGGACUCUCUCGCUGACUGUCAUUCUGGGGAUUCUCUCACUGUGACUGUGAUGAUAUGGUGGGGGCCAUUAUGUCUAUUCCGCAUGUGUGUCUAUAUUAGUGUUGGCACAUGCACAUUUUACCUGAAUAGACACGUCUGUGUUUCUUGUACAGUUAAAUCUUCAGUUAAAAUGAGAACAUCGGGCCAGAUUAAGUGUGUUUACGUGUGUAUGCGAGUGUAUAGCUCUUAUCCAUGCUAAGGACCUUCCCAGGGGUCUGCACACGUGUGUGACGUCAUUUCUGCGUCAGUAACAUUUUCGGCUUAGCCCCCUGGGGAUGAGAUCUCUUACUGUAUAAAUAACUGUAUAAGUGCAGUGCUUCAUGAAGGUGCAGCCAUACAGAAAUGGGGGCCCCACACUGUGCCUGUCAUGAGAUGCUGUGGGGCCUACACACUGUGCCUGUUGUACUGCCAUUCAUUUCAUUUGGCUUGAGUUUCAGUAUCACUAGGUAUAUUAUAUGAAUGCACUGAGAGAAGCUGCCAUCGACAUCAUUACCCAACGGGCGCUACGUUUGCUAGUGUAUAUAUAUAUAUAUAUACAGUAUAUAUAUACAGGGGGGAUACCCUUGGCCACUCCCAUGGCAACAUUUCAGCUUGUGCCCCUGCCCUGACUAAAAGCAUUUUCCAUGAGGGAAACACGGAUGGGAAGCUUUGGUUGUAGCACAUAAACAAAUGGGUGAAAAACACCAGGUCAAGGCUCAUUGUCUUGUCCGGUCCAGUUCUGUCUCUCAGUAUUUCUCUGGUUUUAUUUCAAUCUGCUCCAGCCACAACUCUGGCCCAGUUGGAAUGUGGUCAUUUUAUAUCCGUUCCCUGCCCCUCAGGUUUCUGCCCCAGUAAAUAGAUAAAGAGAUCUAUGGCCCAUAUAAUAGAGCUUGCCAUAUACAUUUACUGUGUUGGGAACGUGUGUGCUGCUGUGUCUGACAGGAAAAGGCAACAAUCAGCCACAGGCUUGGAGACAAAGGGGCAGCAAAUAAUAGGGGGAGGGGCUCAGACACUGAAUAGCCCACACUGUGUCCUGCCAACCAAACCUGAUGAACCAGUGCAGCCUUUUCCUUCCUAAGAGGGGAGGGGCAGACUGCUGCAGAGGAUAUGAUUGGCUUAAUAGUCAAAGGGCUGAGACUUGGAGUUAAAGGCUGUGGGUAAUUUUUGCCAGAACAGCCAAAAGGAAUCAGACAGGCUACUUAGUAAAAGCCUCUGGGAGGGGAUCUGAGAGAUAUUUGUGCGGUACAGAGAUAUGUGAGGAAUUGUCUCCCGUCCCUUACUGAGCCGCUCUCACUCCCACCUCCCAAGCACCCGGGACCAUUGGUUUGUAGCCGGAGCAGGGAACUCUGGGAACUUCCACACAGCUCAGUCCCUCCCACGAGGAGCCAAUGGGAAUGUGGGAGGAAGCGAGUGACACAGGGAUGAAGGGGAAGAAGAAGAAGAAGGA